AUCGUAACUCCUACGGGAGGCAGCAGUGGGGAAUCUUGCGCAAUGGGCGAAAGCCUGACACAGCCAUGCCGCGUGAAUGAUGAAGGUCUUAGGAUUGUAAAAUUCUUUUACCGGGGACGAUAAUGACGGUACCCGGAGAAGAAGCCCCGGCUAACUUCGUGCCAGCAGCCGCGGUAAUACGAAGGGGGCUAGCGUUGCUCGGAAUUACUGGGCGUAAAGGGCGCGUAGGCGGAUCGUUAAGUCAGAGGUGAAAUCCCAGGGCUCAACCCUGGAACUGCCUUUGAUACUGGCGAUCUUGAGUAUGAGAGAGGUAUGUGGAACUCCGAGUGUAGAGGUGAAAUUCGUAGAUAUUCGGAAGAACACCAGUGGCAAAGGCGACAUACUGGCUCAUUGCUGACGCUGAGGCGCGAAAGCGUGGGGAGCAAACAGGAUUAGAUACCCCUGUAGUCCUAGAGC
rnacentral:rRNA from 1 species